UCGUGGGCUAACCAAUGGUCGAUGAUGGGGGCCCACGCCAGUGCCUGGUCGGCCCAUGCGUGCGGCCCCAAGACCAAUGCUACAGCCACCAGCGGCGCCGCCGGCCAUGGCACGGCCAGGCCAGCCACACGCGACCGGUAAACCUCCACCUCUUCUUCUCCACCCUACUUUCUUCGUCUUGCUCGGACACCGUGGAGCGGUAGGGGUAUUCAGUUCGAUAAUGGACGAGCAUCUUCUGAAUCCGGAGGAACCGGCUGCAGGUUAUGGGCUCCGUGACAAUUGAGGCAUGGUGGUGUGAGUGGUAGCGUGAGUAGAGGAAAUGGUGGUGGAGUGCCCUGUGGAACCAAUAGUACAGGAACUCCACAGGUCCAAUAUGAAGCAAUGCGGUGAUGAUGGCUCCCUCGGUUCUCCAUAGUGGCAUGUGACUUACAUUCGGGACGGCUAUGUAGGCCAUGUAGAAGAACAACCCAUUGAAGAUGAUCUGGUCAUCCCUGUACAGGAUAGCAAACAUCACUUGGAAUGACAAGAUAUCUGAACAUAUGUGAUUGGUGGAGACUCUGCUCAGCAGUGCAACGAUCACCUGACCAAUUUGAUCUCAAGUGCUAGUGUGGCAGAAGUAAAUAGCUGGCGGCAUACGUGACUUACCAGGAACUCUCCCGGUCCACCUGGUCGAAGUCAAGACUGCGGUCAACAAUUAUGUGCUUCCUCCGUGCGGUCUGGUGGCGAGACAAGCUGAUCCAGAUCUGGUUGUGGAUCAUCCUCAGUAGCAGAGCUGGUAACAUGGUGGCAUAUGCUGGGUCAAUGUCUCCCCACCCCUUUGUGAGCACCCUGUGCGCAGUGUGCAGCGCAGCAGGCGCCAGGACCAGGUACUGUAAUGUUCAUGGAUAGAGCUCCAGGUUAGAUAUUGAUACCGAUGAAUAUGAUCAAUGGAUUGAAUAUGUGGUGUACAAGAGCUGAUAUCUCUGAUCUUUGAUCCUUCACAAGCUACUGCCGUCGCUGCAAGUUUGCAAAUGUCUUUGUUUCAAAGAGACAACAAGUUUGCUUACGUCAAUUCAGUUGGGUAUGUGCAUGAAGUACUUGAAAGUACAGCUACUGUGGGUGAUUUAUGUCCGGAUCACAAGGUAAGGUACACAUACAGUUGAAGGUUUCAUGAGAGGACAUAAGCUUCUAAUCAAUUAGUACAUCUUUACGAUUUGAUCACUGAUCUGGGCGUGCAGCUAAGGAACCUGAAUUUUAUUGGGCACCCUCGUAUUCAUGUCACUUUCCACCAUGCAAGAGCAUGCAAAGGAGUUUGUCAAGGUCGCUAUCCUCUAUCUUUUUUAUUUGUUAUAAGAAUUAGUUAGAGUCUAAUAGGGAACCAUGGUAAUAUAGUAAAUGUAUAUUACUUCCAUCAGUUUCUUGAAGAACUUAUUCUGGAAUGUCAAGGAAACUAAUUCGCCAAAAAAUAAGGAAUAUCAAGGAAACUGAAAACUGAUAAGUACUCUGGAA